rnacentral:rRNA from 1 species
UACGUAGGGCGCAAGCGUUAUCCGGAAUUAUUGGGCGUAAAGAGCUCGUAGGCGGUUUGUCGCGUCUGCCGUGAAAGUCCGGGGCUCAACUCCGGAUCUGCGGUGGGUACGGGCAGACUAGAGUGAUGUAGGGGAGACUGGAAUUCCUGGUGUAGCGGUGAAAUGCGCAGAUAUCAGGAGGAACACCGAUGGCGAAGGCAGGUCUCUGGGCAUUAACUGACGCUGAUGCGCGAAAGCCAGGGGAGCGAACGGG